UGACGGCCGUAUCACGUUGAAACACCUGUUCCUGCACGAUCACCGAAGUUAAGCAAUGUUGAGACUGGUCAGUACCUAAUAAGUGACCUCUUGGGAAUACCAGAUGCUGUAAG